UGAUCUCAAUCUUGUUAGAUCUAUGAGGUAAAAACAGAUAGGAAUGCCAUGAGAAUGCACAGUUUUUCCUUGCGUCAAAGGCUUUUUCUUUGUUAAUAUACAGUUUUUCCAUGAAAAAUCAAUGAGUUUUUUUACGAGAGGACUGCAUAUUAAGUAUACCACCAAAAAUUUUCCUUUCUUUCUCUUUUUCCGUCCAUCCAAACAAGGGGAAGCUCCUGAAAUUUGAGAAAUGAAAGGGAUCAAGUAACCAAUGAAAUGCCAAACCCGAAACCUGUUAAACCUUACUUCUUCUACGGUCAUCGCAAGCCUUCCCAAAAUCGCCCUGUCGUCCGCGGCGGCCUCUUCUCCAACCGCCAGACAAUAAAAUCACCACCACCGCUAACUUCUCGUUUUGUGCCAUUUGACCUCCAAAAAUGGGACCCGCAAAAUCCAUCGCCACCACCACAGGCCUCCAAGCCCCCACCUUUAGCCCACAACCAUUCACUUACAAGAGUUUCCCGUCUCCUCUCUCCAAUCUCUCGCUUCAUCAUCGACGCCUUUCGGAAGAACGGCAACCACUGGGGUCCACCGGUGGUAACGGAACUACGCAAGCUCCGCCGAGUGACGCCGGACCUUGUCGCCGAAGUGCUAAAAGUCGAAAAUAACCCUCACCUGGCAUCCAAAUUCUUUCACUGGGCUGGUAAGCAGAAAGGGUACAAGCACAAUUUCGCUUCUUAUAAUGCUUUUGCUUAUUGUUUGAAUAGAAGCAGCUUAUUUCGUGCUGCUGAUCAGUUACCUGAGUUAAUGGAUUCACAAGGGAAGCCACCUACUGAGAAACAAUUUGAGAUUUUGAUUAGAAUGCAUUCUGAUGCGCAUAGGGGACUUAGAGUUUACUAUGUGUAUCAAAAGAUGAAGAAAUUCGGUGUCAAACCCCGUGCUUUCUUGUAUAAUAAAAUUAUGGAUGCUCUAAUUAAAACGGGUCAUUUGGAUUUAGCACUAUCAGUAUAUGAGGAUUUUAGGAGUGAUGGGUUGGUGGAAGACAGUCUUACAUAUAUGAUGUUGGUAAAGGGAUUGUGUAAGGACGGCAGGAUAGAGGAAGCGAUGGAACUUUUAGGAAGAAUGAGGAUGAAUUUGUGUAAACCGGAUGUUUUUGCAUACACAGCUAUGAUCAAGGUGCUGGUUGGAGAAGGGAAUUUGGAUGGAAGUUUGCAGGUUUGGGAGGAGAUGAAGAGAGAUGGAGUGAAUCCAGAUGUGAUGGCUUAUGUGACUUUAGUUGCAGGGUUGUGUAAAGGAGGGAGGGUAGGGAAGGGAUAUGAAUUGUUUAAGGAGAUGAAGGAGAAGGGAAUUUUGAUUGAUAGAGCGAUUUAUGGAACACUGGUCGAGGCAUUCGUGGAGAAUGGAAAGGUGGGAUCAGCUUGUGAUUUGUUGAAGGAUUUGGUUGAUUCUGGCUAUAGGGCUGAUUUGAGAAUUUAUAAUUCACUUAUUGAAGGUCUCUGUAAUGUGAAGCGGGUAGAUAAGGCUCAUACUCUUUUUCAGGUUUUACAACAAGAGGGUCUUGAGCCAGACUUUAAGACAGUGAAUCCUAUGUUGGUGUCUUAUGCGGAGAUGAAAAGGAUGGAUGGUUUUUGCAGGCUGCUUGUGGAGAUGAACAAGUUGGGAUUCUCUGUUAUUGAUGAUAUUUCCAAAUUCUUCUCAUUUGUGGUUGAGAAGAAGGAAAGGAUUAUGAUGGCCUUGGAAGUGUUUGAGGACCUAAAAGUGAAAGGUUAUAGUAGUGUUCCAGUCUACAAUAUUCUUAUGGAGGCACUUCUCAAGAUUGGUGAGGUGAAGAAGGCAUUAUCACUUUUCAAUGAAAUGAAGAACUUGAAUUUUGAACCUGACUCAACUACUUACAGUAUUGCGGUUAUAUGUUUUGUCGAAGAUGGAAAUAUCCAAGAGGCUUGUAGGUGUCAUAAUAAAAUAAUUGAGAUGUCUGGUGUCCCAUCUGUGGCUGCCUAUUGUUCUCUCACUAAAGGGCUUUGUAAUAUUGGAGAGAUUGAUGAAGCCAUAAUGCUAGUUCGUGACUGCUUAGGCAAUGUUACAAGUGGCCCCAUGGAAUUUAAGUACACUCUUACAAUUCUUCAUGUUUGUAAAUUAGGUGAGGCUGAAAAGGUGAUAGAAGUGCUGAAUGAGAUGAUGCAGGAGGGUUGUCCUCCCAAUGAGGUCAUAUAUUCUGCUAUUAUCUCUGGCAUGUGCAAGCAUGGGACAUUGGAAGAGGCACGGAAAGUGUUUACAAAAUUGAAAGAGCUCAAACUUCUGUCAGAAGCCAAGACAAUUGUUUAUGAUGAAAUAUUAAUUGAACACAUGAAGAGGAAGACAGCGGACUUGGUGGUGUCAGGAUUGAAGUUUUUUGGUCUGGAGUCAAAAUUGAAAGCAAAGGGAUGUACACUUCUGUCAAGUUGAAAAGACAAGAGACUGGAGAAGUGUUCUUGCUUAUGUGCCUUUAUCCAAUUUCCUAUCUCACAGCACCUAGUCAAAUAGGUCAGUAAGGUUCCUUUGUGUGUGCCUUGUGUGCAGAUCCAGGCAAUGAGGCCUCAAGUCUGAAGCUGUGAACUCAUUUGUCUUCCUAUGGUUUGUGCACUUAGCCAUAUUGUUCCUUAUUCCUUCUCUUCCUUCUUUUUAACUAUAUUUAUUAUCAUAUUGGGAAAUCAGUGGAAUUAUGCUAGUAAGUGAAUGGAGUGAUUGAUAUGGAUCUAAUUGAUUGAGUUUUAGAAUCUUUUGUAAGCUGGCACUUGUAACAUACAUUCGUUUCAGUAUUACUGUGAAUAAUUCAGCACUAAGGAAGAUAGUGAUCUAAUGUUCACAGCAAGCUUUGGUCUCUGAAUGCUCAUGGAAAAUGCUGCAGGUGAUUUUCAUCAUCUUAGUUGCGAAUGUUGCUACCAGUGCUAGGUUUGGACGUGGCAUAGAGGAAUCUUGAAUUUUGGGUGUUUCCCUCUCGUGUUUGUUGAGCAAAUGAUCCCUUUGGCAACUGACCACAUUGGUAAACUACCCUUGGCAGUAAUUAGCAGCAAUCUGGGUUCAACAACUGGUUUCAUAAUCUUAGCCGUUCUCAAGAUAUAUUAUUGCAAGGAACUUGUGGUUAGCAGAGAACAGCUUGAAGGGGUCUUGUGGAUUGAAUUUUAGUCUGCAUGUGCUGAAGCCAUUUUAAGAGUGUCAUUUCUCAUACUUUGUAUCAGAAAGCAAACCAAUUAAGUGUACCUGUUGUGAUUUGAACUUCAGGGCACCAACACAAUAAUACUAAUUUCACACGUGGAACUGUUCAUUCCAAAUGUUCUGCAUUGUCAAGGAUUGAUACUAUUAUUUUGUUCAGUUAGGAAUGGGAUACUAUGGCCGAGAGGGCGAUAGUCAAACUGAAGUUUUGCAUGUUUUUAAGCGCGACAUUGCAGGCAGGGUGAGGAGCUAGGGAACGAAAAGGAGAACAGAGAACUUUGGCUAUCAUUCUGUAGCUUGUCAACUUUGCCGCUAUUUUGGCCGGUGCAUGGAUUCCUAACUAUGAUAAUUUUCUGGUCUGAUGAGUCUCCAUUCUCUUAAGAAAUGUUUAUUCGCAGAAUUUGUGUUGUAACUUUGCAGUACUGCAUAUGAGCGUAAAAAGAAAAUGUUUGCCUUCAGUGCAAUUUGCGGUAGACAAGGAAUUAAGGAAAAACACUGGUGAUUUGUUUUGGUA